rnacentral:rRNA from 1 species
GACGAACGCUGGCGGCGUGCCUAAUACAUGCAAGUCGAGCGCACGGACGAGAAGCUUGCUUCUCUGAUGUUAGCGGCGGACGGCUUAGUAACUCGUGGAUAAUCUACCUAUAAGACUUGGAUAACUUCGGGAUACCCGCGCUAAUACCGGAUAAUUUUUUAUACCGCAUGGUUCCAAAGUGAUAGCCGGUCUUUCUGUCACUUAUUGAUGGAUCCGCGCUGCCUUAGCUAGUUGGUAAGGUAACGGCUUACCAAGGCAACGAUGCAAAGCCGACCUGAGAGGGUGAUCGGCCAGACUGGAACUGAGAAAGGGUACAGACUCCUACAAGAGGAAGCAGUAGGGAAUCUUCCGCGAUGGGGGAAAGCCUGACGGAGCAAAGCCGCGUGAAGGAUGAAGGAGUUAGGAUCGUAAAACUAUGUUGGUAGGGAGGAACAUAUGUGUAAGUAACUGUGAAAAUAAUGACGGUACCUAAUCAGAAAGCCACGGCUAACUACGUG